AUCACCUGCAAAACAUCACCAAAAGGACAUGGAACACAACAGUCAUCUUAGGUUGUUCACAUUAUGCAGCAGAAAUUAACUGUAAUUUAAUCAUAUGGAUAUUCAGUGCUAAAAUCCUGGGAGCACAGUGGUACAUCUAUUGUAUACCCUAAACCAUAGUAGCCAACUGCUAGUUUGAUUCUCCAUUACCUUGACUGGUCUAUUUGCACUCCUGCCUUUCAUUAUCCUUCUCUUAUCCAUGCAAAGGGCAAACGCUGUGUCACUUUUUGUGUUCUUUAUUGUACUGAACAGGUUGUUACAGCUCAAUGGGAAGAUAGCAUUCAUCUUAUUUAGAAGAAUUACAUUAUAUCAGAUGAUUUUCAAGCCAGCCUAUACUUACAACAACAAAUGAAGAACUACGUCAGAAGUGGAUAAUCCUGUCCUUCCUAUUCCUCCUCUCUCCCAUUUUGUCACUAGGGAAUUAUUUACAGUUCUUUUUACUAAAGGCCCUGUUACUCAAGUCAUAAAAAGUGGGUGGCUCCUCAGGAUGCCACCCAUACCUUCUUGUCUACAGAACUCACCUAUAUUGCAGUUGGGGCCAAUGACACUGUUGGAUAUGGAGCAGUUUCUGCCCACAGAGGUUCCCUGCCCGAUGAGGACAUUCUCUUCAAGCACGCUGCCAUGGCCCAGGCUCACCUCCGCCCCCCGGUAGAUGUUGUGCCGGGAAUGGGUGCAGCUCUGCUUCUCGUCGCCAGUGAUGUUCAUCUCGGGAGCCAUUGGAUACACCCAGCGUUGGAGGAUGUCAGAGGACACGGAUUCGUACAUCAGCAAGUUGGAUACAGGGACACCAUACUCUUCUGAUGUUGCAUGCAUAUGGAUCUGGUUGCCCAGGACCUAGUAAAUGCCAUUCAAAAGCCAAUUCAGCAUGGUGGGCCUGGCUUGGUCAGUUUCCCACUAAAAGCAGAUGUCAGCUUUUCUUGCUUAGACUCACAGAAUGAUAAGAGUUGGAAGGGACCCCCAAGGCCAUCCAGUCCAACCCCUUCUGCCAUGUAGGAACUCACAGUCCAAGCACCCCAGACAGAUGGCCAUCCAGCCUCUGCUUAAAAACGUAUGAUUUGCUUCUACAAGCAAUUUGGAACAUAACUUGGAUGUUAUAUUUUUGAAAAUUUCAGCUCUUUCCUUAGCUGUCUUUCAAAGUUUUAGCUACACUCAGAUACAAAACCCUUAUCUCACCUGGCUGCAUUAUAUUACUGUACCAGGUAGGUUUCGCAAUCAAUUUUUAGACCAGAGAUUGUAUUGUAUCCUCCAGGUAUGGAAAGUAACCAAAUGCAAUACGUUGAUAAAGGGAUGUUGCAACUGGUUGCAGCUAAAACCUUAAAGGCCCAUACAAGUUGUACAAACUUCCACAAAGGAUUAAAAAUAUAACAUUCUGUAAUUCUACCUUGAACAAGGACACAAUGUUUAAGGGCCAUUUUUGGUGAGGUCUUAGUGCUCUACAUAGCUUCUGACAAGUAAAAUAAAAUCAGUUAUAUACAAAACAUACAUGAAGCAGCUUUUCACAGUCAGACUAUAGCUCCAUCUAGCUGAGAACUGUCAUCUAUGGCUAAGACACAUAUCAUUGAGCCUAAUCACAGGGGCUCUGCAGCAGGAAGACUUUCAUGGGUAUAUCUGAAGAUGUGAUUGAGCUACAGUUCCUGAUCAACAUUCACAUAUACAUAUUUUUUUCCAGUGCAGAAUUUGCAAUGCAGAUUUAAAUCUCUUUUCAGUAUGGAGUACACGGAGCUAUACCAAAUGUACGUAUGAUCUCAAAAAAAAAAAGAUAGAUGACAUGUGAUGAAGUCUCUGCAUCCAACUACAUAGAUUACUGAUGAUAGCUUUCACUUUAUCUCUAUUCCAUCUCACCCUUUUCACUUCCUAGCUUCUGCUCUCGAACAAGUGACUGAUGUUACACUUCUUACUUCUAGUAUUCAAGUCUUUGUCAAAUUAUUCCUGAACUGCUGAUAAUUUUAACUUUGGAAAUAAACAAUUUUACCAAACACA